rnacentral:misc_RNA from 1 species
AACGAGGCCGACCUGCGGCUGAGUUACCUGCGGAGGGAUCAUUAUCGAGUUGCAAAACUCCAACCCUUUGUGAACAUACCUCAGUCGUUGCUUCGGCGGUGGACGGCUUGCGAAACAAAAGGCCUGAAGCCGCCGGAGGUUCCAAACUCGUGUUUUGUUUAGUGUAUCUCUGAGCCUGAAAACAAAUAAUCAAAACUUUCAACAACGGAUCU